GUCUGGUAACAGUUCACGGCAUGGCAAACCCCACCAGAAGCAAGACCAAAUAGGAAUCCUAGGUGCGGCCCGUACUGGAUUCGGGUAGGUCGCUUGAGCGUAUGAGUGAUUGUACGCCUAGAGGAAUGACCAUCCUCGACAGAACCCGGCUUAUAGGCUCACUUCACCU
rnacentral:RNase_P_RNA from 1 species